ACGGAGGAUGCGAGCGUUAUCCGGAUUUAUUGGGUUUAAAGGGAGCGCAGACGGGGGAUUAAGUCAGUUGUGAAAGUUUGCGGCUCAACCGUAAAAUUGCAGUUGAUACUGGUCUUCUUGAGUGCAGUUGAGGCAGGCGGAAUUCGUGGUGUAGCGGUGAAAUGCUUAGAUAUCACGAAGAACCCCGAUUGCGAAGGCAGCUUGCUAAACUGUAACUGACGUUCAUGCUCGAAAGUGUGGGUAUCAAACAG
rnacentral:rRNA from 1 species